rnacentral:rRNA from 1 species
GAUGAACGCUGGCGGCGUGCCUAAUACAUGCAAGUCGAGCGAACAGACGAGGAGCUUGCUCCUCUGACGUUAGCGGCGGACGGGUGAGUAACACGUGGAUAACCUACCUAUAAGACUGGGAUAACUUCGGGAAACCGGAGCUAAUACCGGAUAAUAUAUUGAACCGCAUGGUUCAAUAGUGAAAGACGGUUUUGCUGUCACUUAUAGAUGGAUCCGCGCCGCAUUAGCUAGUUGGUAAGGUAACGGCUUACCAAGGCAACGAUGCGUAGCCGACCUGAGAGGGGGAAGGGACAAAACGGAAAAGAAAAAACGACCAGACCACAAAGGGAGGGAACAGGGAGGGAUGAUCCCGAAAGGGGAAAAGGCCGGAAGGACAAAGGCGGGGGAGGGAAGAAGGGUUUAAGAAUGAAAAAACUUGUUAAUAGGGGAAAAAAAAGGGGGAAAGUAACAAGGCAGGUCUGAAGGAAACUAAACAAGAAGACCAGGAAAAACAAGGAC